rnacentral:SRP_RNA from 1 species
GCCAGGCGCAGGGGCUGGCGCCUGUAAUUCCAGCACUUUGGGAGGCCGAGGUAGGAGGCUCACUUGAGCCCAGGAGUUCAGGUCUGCAGUGAGCCAUGAUUGUGCCCUGCACUCCAGCCUGGGCAACAGAGUGAGAUUCUGUCUCUG